rnacentral:lncRNA from 1 species
UCCCCAUUGCAACUUCUUAGAGCGCCUAAUAUUUCUUCCUUAGUAAAUGGAGUCUCCAACCCAUCCCUUUCUUGCUCAUUCAAACUGUUGAACUCUAAGCCAGUCAAAGAAUGUCAAAGGAAAUUGCUUCCUCACUAUAUAAAUCGUACUUUCUCCCUCAAGUCUAAAUUCCCAUUAAUAAUUUGGCCAUUAAUCUCCAAUCCCUCAUAAUACUGCAUUUUCACCUGUGGCUGGCAAUU